rnacentral:misc_RNA from 1 species
CUCGCCGGCUGUUUCUGAACUCACCAAAAUCCCUGUCCAUGUUCAUCUUAUAAUCACUGGAUUGACCUCGUUGCUGGUUUCGAAAUCUUUCCUGUCUUGGUCCCUUGAAAUUCUGAAAGUUGCCACCAUUUAUUCUCUUCUCAGAUCGAUCAUUACCUCGGAAUCCUCUAUUUUCACCAUGUGAACUAUGAGAUGAUCUAUCAAAAUCUUUAUUCCACGAGUGCCUUCUGUCACCUAUUUUACCCUUAGGAUCUCUUACGAAGUCGUAAUCACUUCGACCUCUGAAGUCGUCACGUCUUCUACCAGCUUCCAUUUUGUUCUUCCCAUACUUUCUUCCCUGCGAAAGCAUCUCAUCAUUAUCAGAACGUCUAUGAUAGUUCCUUCUGCCAAAAUCCUGUUUAUUUCCUUUCCUUUGGUUGGAGCCAAAAUCUUCAUCAAAAUCAUCUGCAUCAGAAUCAAGCUCAACUUCUUCAUCUGACCCAAAACUUAAUCCCCUGGAUAGACCAGUUGGACUUCUACCCCUGUUUUUAU